UUUAUACAACAUUAUGUUUAUAAUUCGCUAUUACUAUUACAAACUGUUUCGGGAAGUUUAUCAUGCUGGUUAAACGAAACCUUUAAAUGAAAAAAAAAAAAGAAAAACGCAAGCAGUUGUUAUUGCAGUGUUUUUAUCAAUAACAUUGCUUUAAAAAGUGAUGUUUAUACAUACACUCAAGCACGGAUGAAAAAUAAGCAUGUCACAUAUUUUUAAUAGUGUUACUAUAUACAGCAGUCACCAAGACAAUAUUACAAUUAAUCAACGUUUCUGGUCGCAGUGAGUAAACAGAAAUAAAACACUACUAAUAACUAACCUAAUUAUAAACGACGGUGAUAAUGUGCUUCAACCAAAUUUGAAGUGAUUUCUCGUACUUGUGUGUGACAAUCUCUAACAUUUGAGAUAAUUUCAUUUGCUAUUUAUCUGAGAUGGUUUCCAUAUCCUUGAGCAAGAAACACUGAUGUUAUUUCAUUAUUGCCCUUUCGGAGUUUUCAAGCUAGUAGGAGCAAAAAGAAACAAAAAACAUAAUAUAGAAUUAUUUACUACUCCCAAAUCCUAUUUCAUUUUCACCAGUGUAAUCUCUUUAUCGAAAUUGAUGAUGAAACAAUAAUACGACGGCUCUAUAUUUUGCUUCCCCUCAAUUGUGGCUGAUAGGUCGCCCUGGAGUGUGGCCAUCGUUUGCCGUCAGAGCACGUGUUAGUCAAACAACUCCGUUCGAUGAAACAUUAUCGGGUGAAAUUAGAUCACUUAUCAUCAUUUUUGGUUACACCACAUAACAGCUUCGAGAUUGGUUUCAGAGUGUAGUCUUUUCUCUGCUCUAAUGUCUGCAUUCGCUGUCACGCUACUUCUUGUACAUGGCACGCCUUUAUUGUACAUUUACAUCCACUUGAAGGUCCUCAGGCUUUUCUUUGGCUCAUCGUAGUCUUUUGCAACGCACUAAUACUGAGCUAUUCUGCUUCGAUUCCCGAUUUUUACGGUCGAUUAAGUCGUUACGUUGAGCGACUGGACUGUCUUUUUAACUUAUGAACGAUUGAUACCAGUGAGAUUUUACUGCUUUGGUUGCUGUCAGUCUUUUCUAGUUGCCACUUCUUUGAAAAUACUUCAAACGUUUAUUUGCUCUUAUCAAACAUUCUGGGAUAAAUAUACGUUCAAAUCUUUAUUGCGAUAAUAAAUAAUCAAUUUGUCACAGUUGCUUUUGUUCUGGAAUUUCAGAUGCAUAUUAACAGUCAAGAUAGAAACAUGCAUUCCUACGUUUAUGCUACUUCAAGCAUUUCACCACAUUUUCGACGUUUAUCCAUUUUUGCAUGAGUUGUUGGGAAAAAAUAACUUGAAGAAUUGUCGUGUUUUUUAUUUUAGUUUGUAUACCAAUCAUUGGCGACUGUUCAUAUAUUGUUUUUGAUUUGAUCCGCUCUCUCCAACUGGUUACCCGUAAAAGAAAGAACAACAGAUUGUAAGCUUCUCUUUAUCCAAAUACUUUUAUUAUCAAACGCCAAUGCCAUUUUAUCAUAUUCACAUGUUAUCUUCAAAUCUAAAAUUUGAAAAUUGGCGUUCAUGUUAAAUCUAGCUUACACAGAAACUUAAACUUCUACGCACCUAAAAGCAGUAUAAUUCGAUGGAAAUUGUAACGCUGUCUAGUGUAUUAUGGAUCCUAGAAGCAUAUGGAAGUAGAGGUCAACCAAGAUAAGGAGUACGUGUAUGGGAUAUGGUGCUGUAGGCGCACGGUUUACCCGGAUGGCAUCGACUAUAUGAGCGUUGCCCCUAAGAUGCGAUUUAUGGUUUAAUUAAGCUGAAGUAAUAAUGUGGUUCUGGGCUUUUACUGCAUUGACUAAUUCCAUUCGGAAGCUGAAAAUCUCUUGUUUGAGCUUUACUUUGGGAGUGGUUUUCGGGUAGAUUGGAAGGCAAAAGUGUUCACGUGCUUUAAAAGAAGAAUUCAUAUUUGACGCCUCAAUAUAUAGAGAAAUAUAUAUAGAGUAAUUUAUAUAGAGAAAUAUAAGAACGAUGAAAAAUUCUGCUUACUGGGAACAAUUGAGCACCAGCAAAAACAAAAUUCAAUGUUACUUCAUUACUAGUAUAAAUCAGAUAUUAGGCGACAUACAUAAAUUACGUAAGGCAAAGGAAAUCAAUUUUGUUACUUCCAGCCCUCUAUAUAUAACGAAGAGUAAAGCAUGGUUGCUUACACUUCCAUGAAAACUACGUAACGCUGUAACAGAGUCCCCCCCACUCCAUCAAAUUGCUAACAUUCCGAUUGCUAUGUGCCUAUCUUAUUGUAUUCACUUCUUUUUUCGGAAAGUGGUACAUCUUAUUCAAAAAAAUAAAAAAACACAAUUAAAGUUAUCAGAUCAUAAAAAUCGAAAAUAACUCAUAUACACUAAGGUCGCUUUUUACGCGUUUUUUACGCGAAUUCCGGAAUUUACGCGGUAUUUUUUUCUGCGCAGAUUUCGGUUUCUCUUCACUUGGAUUUCAGAAUUAACACGGUUUUUUUUUACGCGGAUUCCGGAAUUUUCGCGGUUUUUUUACGCGGAUUCCGGAAUUCACGCGUAUUUCGGAAUUUACGCGUUUUUUUACACGGAUUCCGGAGUUUACGUGUUUUUUUAUGCGGAUUCCGGAAUUUACGCGGUUUUUUUACACGGUUUUUUUAAGCGGCACGUAUCCCUCGCGUAAAAAGCGACUUUAGUGUACUAAUGACUUUUACGUAGUGCAAUGUGCUUCAUAGGUCGCUAAAUCUAAGGUACUAGAUGAAUUAAAAAUAAAUUACAAUUGAAACUACAUUACAGUAGAAAAAAUAAUUUCGGUUGAAUUAAUCUGUCGCAAUGUCAUCCAGAUAAAAAAGACACCAUAACUACACUGUUUCCGUCCAUGAUCCAGUUUUUCGAAUAUACUACCUACAAUGCAUUUUACAUAUUAAAAAUUAAGAGUUAUCCUUUAACUUGUAGCAACAUUUAAAUCAAGGUCAUCAACAAUACUCAGACUACAUUGAUAAUAUUUUUUUUUUGUGUCAAGGUUUCUGAGCCAAAUAGAUAAAAAUAAAAGAAAUUACCUUUUAUUUGCGUGUCAAAAUGGUAAAAGUACAUUAUGAAAUCAAAUAUUCGGUCACAGUGAAUAAUUAUGAAUAAAUGAUUGAAUUUUCGUUCUGUGCCAUUAAACGUCUUAUUGUUGAGAACGGUUAAUUGACACAUAACAAUCCUUGGGAUGACCGUUAGCAGUUUAUGCGUUUACAAAAAACAUGGCCUCAUUAUUGUGACAUCCUUACCGGAAAUCAGCGAUCCAUCUUUCAGAGCUAUCGUUCGGUACACAUGAAUCCAUCAACUGAAAGUGUGAAAGGCGAAUAAGUUGGACCAGAGAGCAGCGAGUAAUAUGACAUAGCUAAAUGUCAUUCGGUGACCUGUGAAUUAUGGUAGACAACCGUAAUUCUGUUUCAGUACUCGAGAUCUAGUGUAGUUCUUUGUCAAACAAUAAAAUAAUCAAUCAUAGAAAACGUGCGCAGGAUUGUUUUGAUUGUUUUUGAUGAAUAAUACACACCGAUGACACAAUUAGGAAGUUGCUUUAGUCGGCAAAAAGUUCGUGUGGCUAGUUUUAUGGCUCGAAUUCUAGACGAAUGAUGUUGGAUAAUGACUCAGGACAAAUAAAAUUGUUUAUUUUAAUGAACGCCUCUGCUAUCGUGAUUUUGUUAGCAAGGUUAAAGUUUUAUAGUAUAUAUUUCUAAGAAAAAAAUGAGGAUAUUUAGAUUAUGUUGUUUUUGAUAGAAAUGCAUAAUAUUUAUUAUUAUAUUUCGAUGUUUGAUAUAAAAAUGUUUAAAAAAAUGUUUUCGGUUGUUUUAUUGAAAAGUACUACUAAUUUUAAUGAGAUUGCUUCAGUUAUUUUUACAAAUUUUACUAUUUGAAAAAUUAUGCGAAGCAACAAAAAAAAUAUAGGGGGUAUAAUCGAUUUAGAAAGUACCGCUAGGGGCUAGGUUAGGUUAAGAACCGCUGCAAUAAAGUACCAUCUGUCGUAUUGUUUGUGUGAGUCGGGUAGGUAUAAAUCAUACUUUUACUUGUUCCCGAUUAUACCUAUCGACUCGGAAGAAUUGAAAAAAUGGUGUUAUUUUCAAUUGCUAAAAUCUAGUUCUCCUUGACGUCAACUUUUUAAAUUAACGUUGAAAACUCAUGUCACAGUUUGUUGAUGCCUACGAUGUGGUUAUCAUUGGAGCUGGUUUGUCCGGGUUAUGUGCAGCAAGAUGUAUACGCAACAAAUGCCCCACCAUCAGUUUUAAGGUCAUAGAGCAAUCCCCGGAAGCCGGUGGCCAGCUGGAUGGUUUCAAGUCGCGGUGGAUUACGUCAAGCCAUUUUCACGCUGUUGAACUAUGUCAAGAACUCGGUGUGGUGUUAACAGAGAUGAGACAAUUACAUCCAACGUAUUCUGAUUGUGAUUUGUCGAAACUGCGAGAUGUUACGCCGUUCGCUGGACUUUUUUUUGGUCAGUUAGCCAGAAUUGAAAGUAAGCAACUGAUGGCAGAAUUAGAUACACUCGGUUCCAAACCAUUCAUCAUCGAAAAUCCCAUGAAUAUGGAUAUGUUUUUAGACAGCAAGCUGAUACUGAGUGCUUCAAAAAAUUUCUUCCAAUUUUUGAUCAAAAUAAGCUGUGGAUUUAGCCCGGAAGAAUUGAGUGUGACGGAUUGGGUGAAAUUUUGUCGGUCAUUGUCAUCAACUAGCAAUGCUUAUGCGAUGCUUACAAAAAAUGACAUUCAUUUGAUACCCAUUGAAGGGUGGACCGAAUUAGCAGCAAAGCUCGUCGAAGCGGUAGGAACGGACAAUAUAAUAUUUUCGAAUAAAAUAACCCGAGUGGAAUGUAGCAGUGAGAAUUUUGUCCUAGUAUGGAACGAGAAAGGACGCUAUUAUAAGGCUAAGACAGCCAUUUGCUCUGUUUCAUGUAAUGAUCUGAUUCGUUUCGAUUUUAUACCAUUUCGUCCAACAUGCUUUAAAGCACCAAACUCUACGAUGAACAUUACUCAAGUUACCGAUUUCAAGGCGCGAUAUAAAUCAGGUCUUUGGAGAAAUCAAAAAUUUUCUGGUAAAUUGUUUCUGCCGCGCUAUCGAAUUAUAUGUUUUGAAAGAGAUAACCAUACAUUGGAAGGUUCAUUUUUUCACCGGUCAGACUUAAAUGAACAUGAAAUAAAAUGUGCCAUUUUAAACAUACUAAGUUUGAGUUUUGGAUGCCGUAAUCUCCUGUUUCCGAAUAAUUUUGAGAUGCAUCAUCAGGAACUACCGUUUUACUUCGAUGUGCCACCGACUUUCAACCGGAGAGUAAUUUUUUCUUCCUCAAACGCCAGUUGUUGGUAUCGAGGACAUAUCAAUGGAUCAAUACAGGCAGGAAUUAGGGCUGCUGUAUUAGCGCUACUGGAAGUGCGGCCACAGACCGUUUCGUACAAAGACUUUACAGAUAUGCAAUGCGUGUUAUUCAAAUAUUCGAAUCAGGCUUCCACAACUAAUCGCCUUUGGACAAACAUAAAUUUUUCUAGUAUUUCUCGAUUUGCAACAGCUCUCGCUAUGCUAGCCGUCUCACUUGGCGUGAUAAUUCAUUUGGGUAGAAACCUCACAGGAUUGGAUUAAUUUAAAAACGAGUUAAUUAGAUUUAAAACAUAAUCUGCAUUGUUUUAAAACUUCUUUCUAUCUCGAGGCUGUUCUGCGGUUGAAUCAAUAAAUUGUUGAGAACUGUCGUGUGUUUUAUUUUUUUACUAAACCUGUUUUAAGAAUGAAGAUUUUUUUUUAAUAGUAAACAACCAAGUUAUUAACUAUUUUCAGUUACGAACGCCAAUAAAACGUAUUGUUUUUUGAAUGUGUGUGCUAAUGUAUUCUAUAUCAAAAUAAAUUAAAACAAUGCAAAAGCAAGCAUCACGAAUUUAUACUAGUGUCCCUUGCUCUCUGCAAAACACAUGAAAAAUUACUCCUCCGGUUUGUCUAUAAUCAUAAUUUAAAUUAUCAUUAACGCCAUUAGCAUCAGUAAUAGCCAUCGACUGAUGUGGCGUUUGUAUACCAGCAAAAGCUACCGCUUCGACAUCAUUCUCAUCGAUCCAACGGUUGGUAAGUCGACGUUCGUAAUUAUUCCAAUUAAUUUCCUAGGUGUUGCCUUGUAUCCUACUUUUCCAUUAAAUCAACGCUUUCGUUGUGGUCUGCUGUGUCAGAGGUAAGAGCGUCACGUAAACACAGUGAUUGGUGGCUUAAGUGAAAGUGAAAUAUUAUGAUCAUUAUCAAGUGCGUCAUCACUUAUUUUAUUUCUAUACCGGCGACGAUUAUGCUUCAGUGAUAAAAAAGCGAUCAUCAAGUCAAUUUUUGAAAAGAAAUAAUACAUCGUUUUCGAUAUCGAUAGCUGCAACAGUGAAGAAAACUGCAUACCACGUAAAACUGAUGGUUUUCCAGACAUAAAAAAUGCAUGCAUGGACCUUUCUCACAAUUUAGAAAUGUCAAUAUUUGCACUUCUAUAUCGAUUUAUAAAGUAGGGAUGAAUUUCCGUGCCCAAUUAGUGAUGUCGUAUAAUCAAGCUGAGUUCAUGACAUAUUAUUAUUAUUUGUAAAGUGAGAUCCAAUCAAAUACCGUGAUGUUCUAUUAGCUUAUAGAUAGUCGCGAUUGUAAAUUAAAAAAGAACGUAAUGCGGUACGGCUCUGAUUGUUUCAUCGAUAAGGUGUAUUUGAACUAAUGUAUUAACGGAUUUUAAUUGCAAUAUCUCUACAUUGUUUUGAAAUUUUACCAGCUGUGAUAAGAUGAGAGACACAACAAAAGCACAAUUAUUGCUUCUUUUUGUAUUUAAUUUCAGGGUUGUGUUGCGAUCCUGAGCAUCACUUGGAUACUUUGCCUAACUUGCUUUGGUCUGCUCGUGUUACCGAAAGGUUACUACUUCAACAAAUCAGGAUUACUAGCAUGUGAGCCUUUCUAUAGUAAAUCUUCCUACCGGAUACUGUCCAG